UGGGGAAUAUUGCACAAUGGGCGAAAGCCUGAUGCAGCGACGCCGCGUGCGGGAUGAAGGCCUUCGGGUUGUAAACCGCUUUUAAUUGGGAGCAAGCGAGAGUGAGUGUACCUUUUGAAUAAGCACCGGCUAACUACGUGCCAGCAGCCGCGGUAAUACGUAGGGUGCAAGCGUUAUCCGGAAUUAUUGGGCGUAAAGAGCUCGUAGGCGGUUUGUCACGCCUGGUGUGAAAGUCCAUCGCUUAACGGUGGAUCUGCGCCGGGUACGGGCAGGCUAGAGUGCAGUAGGGGAGAUUGGAAUUCCCGGUGUAACGGUGGAAUGUGUAGAUAUCGGGAAGAACACCAAUGGCGAAGGCAGAUCUCUGGGCUGUUACUGACGCUGAGGAGCGAAAAGCAUGGGGAGCGAACAGGAUUAGAUACCCUGGUAGUCCAUGCCGUAAAACGGUGGAUGCUGGAUGUGGGGCCCUUCCACGGGCUCCGUGUCGGAGCUAACGC
rnacentral:rRNA from 1 species